AUUGAACGCUAGCGGGAUGCUUUACACAUGCAAGUCGAACGAGUGGCGGACGGGUGAGUAAUAUAUCGGAACGGGCCCAGUAGCGGGGGAUAAAUACUGGAAAGAGUGGCUAAUACCGCAUACUAAUGGAGCGGCCGAUAGCGGAUGGUAUAGUUGGUGGGGUAAAGGCCCACCAAGGCAACGAUCCGUAGCUGGUUUGAGAGGAGGACCAGCCACACUGGGACUUAGACACGGCCCAGAUUCCUACGGGAGGCAGCAGUGGGGAAUUUUGGACAAUGGGGUAAACCCUGAUCCAGCCAUCCCGCGUGUAUGAGAAGGCCUUCGGGUUGUAAAGUACUUUUGGCAGAGAAGCGGUAUCUGCAGAAUAAGCACCGGCUAACUACGUGCCAGCAGCCGCGGUAAUUC
rnacentral:rRNA from 1 species